rnacentral:ncRNA from 2 species
UGAUCGUUAAAGUUAUUCGGUUCUGGUGGGGGUCAGCUACCAGAGGUAACGGGGAAAGUUCGGUGCAAAUCCGCCACUGUCCCGCAACUGUGAACUAAUUUGAGAUUUGAGAUUAGCUUGUCUUAGUCAUCCCAAAUUCUAAAUUGAGUGAGUCAGGAUGCCCGCCGAAGUAGAUUUAUCAGU